GCCUUGGUAGUGUAGUGGCAGCACGGACCUUGGUAAGUGUGAGACGCUGGUUCAACUCUUGCCUGAGGUC